CUACGAGCUGCACCAGUGGGGAAUAUUGCACAAUGGGCGCAAGCCUGAUGCAGCCAUGCCGCGUGUAUGAAGAAGGCCUUCGGGUUGUAAAGUACUUUCAGCGGGGAGGAAGGGAGUAAAGUUAAUACCUUUGCUCAUUGACGUUACCCGCAGAAGAAGCACCGGCUAACUCCGUGCCAGCAGCCGCGGUAAUACGGAGGGUGCAAGCGUUAAUCGGAAUGACUGGGCGUAAAGCGCACGCAGGCGGUUUGUUAAGUCAGAUGUGAAAUCCCCGGGCUCAACCUGGGAACUGCAUCUGAUACUGGCAAGCUUGAGUCUCGUAGAGGGGGGUAGAAUUCCAGGUGUAGCGGUGAAAUGCGUAGAGAUCUGGAGGAAUACCGGUGGCGAAGGCGGCCCCCUGGACGAAGACUGACGCUCAGGUGCGAAAGCGUGGGGAGCAAACAGGAUUAGAUACCCCCGUAGUC
rnacentral:rRNA from 1 species